GUUUGUCGCAACAGUUGUUCUUGUCAUUCUGAGCGUCCUUAGUAGGACGGAUGCCGCUUAUGAAAAUAAGUUUGAAGUUACUGAAGGAUGUCUGCAGUACAACAGCGAUCGAGGCUAUAACUUUGCCCAUGCUUAUUUUUCGACUGGUGCAUUCACCAAUGUGCGUAAAAAUGCUGGCAACAGUACAGAGCUAAGAAUUGGAGUUCUUGGAAGGAACGAUGGUUUUAUACGGCUAGCUCCAGUUCAGUACCCAUACGAUGGAAAUUAUAUGAACGAAAUUGUUAUUUCCGGCUGGGAAAACACUCGAACCCAAGUAAGAAGUUACACCCGAACGGGUCCAGCAAAGACAGACGGAUUUAAAGUGCUCCGAGAACAGUCUAGUCUCGGGCUUUUGUCCGAGUUCGAACCGUUGAUGUUCACCCUGUCAAUCAAUCCGAACGGAGCGGUUAAGCUUACAAAGGACGGCGAUUCGUAUCCGUUUUUAGAGUUUCAAGACACCAAGGUUUCGUCCAUGUUCAUCAGUUUCUGCAAUUGGAAUGUUCCGGUUGUUUACUUUUUUGAUUGUCCACACAAGAAGUAGCAGAUGAGCGAUUUUAAGUAGAAGAAAAUAUGCGUA